UACGUAGAGACCAAGCGUUGUUCGGAUUUACUGGGCGUAAAGGGCGCGUAGGCGGCGUGUUAAGUCAGCUGUGAAAUCUCCAAGCUUAACUUGGAACGGUCAGCUGAUACUGAUGUGCUAGAGUGCAGAAGGGGCAACCGGAAUUCUUGGUGUAGCGGUGAAAUGCGUAGAUAUCAAGAGGAACACCUGAGGUGAAGACGGGUUGCUGGGCUGACACUGACGCUGAGGCGCGAAAGCUAGGGUAGCAAACGGG
rnacentral:rRNA from 1 species